rnacentral:lncRNA from 1 species
UUUUUUUUCUUUUCUUUUCUUUUCUUUUUAAGUGAUUAAUGUGCUUCAGAGUCUUGUAGGCAUUAAAAAAAAAAAAAAAAAGGAAAAAAAAGAACAAGGAAAGUAAUUCUGUAAGGGCAAGAAAUCAUUAACACAUUUUACACAUCUCAAAACUCAAAACUGAAACGCUAAGAAUAAAAUGUAUUUUAUUCACAGAAGCAGCAUCCUUAAAGUUCUGUAAAAGUGAUACCAUAGACAAGACCACAUCACAGACGAGCAUGGCAGGACUGCUCAGAUUCCAAACACAUUCUGAACAGUCCUCCUGUCACUUUCCUCAAUGGGAACACUUCAGUCUGUCUUCUAUUCAAAUUAAGUAUCUUGCAAGGGAGUUGAAGAAAACUGCAUAGCAGAUUUUAAAACUUCAAUGCUUUUCUCAAUUUUUGCCACAUUCUGAUGCAUUUUACUGACUACAUGGCCAAUAAGUUUAAAGCUUUUUGCAUCGAUAAAUACAAUGCUCCUUUUAGCAAUAGGCUUUUUGUUUUAUAUACAAAGAUCUAUAACUUAAGCUAGUAAACUGGGCAUUUCACAAAUAUUUUGCACAAUUCCUAGCACAGAUUUUAGCAAAAUAAAACCGGUAUCUUUCCACAGUUAAAUGACCAAGGAUAGGAAACUGCACGGUCAAAAUAACCGUUCCAUUAUUUUAUAUAAAUACAAAUGAUAAAGUAGAGUAUGCUUUGGAAAACAGUAUUUCCAUAUGCUAACGAUGAAGUAGAAGACAGUUCCUCAGCCUCAUAUGACACUUGACAACCGAAGUACUCUGGCCCAAGCCUAGCCCGGUUAAACAGAAAUGAGGUAAACGUGUGAGUGACCAUGGUGGGGCAUUCUGAUAGCCACAGUCCAGGAAAGAACAGCUAACAUCUUUCUUCUUCAUGGGAAAACCGAAACAUGCUCAGAGACCUUGAUUCUUUAAAACACAGUGUGCCCCAGUACUAACCUUAAGCUCCCAUUGAUCAAGAUUGCGAUAAACACAGAGCUGUUUAUCCAGGCCCUCGAAAAUCACGGACAUGGUACAUACACAAUGUUUUCAAACACUCAGUGCUGCCAGUAUGUUAAAUGUCCUGUGAUACCAGAGGUCUUGUGCAGGACCAGAAGCGUCGCAGCCUGGUUACCUGUCCUGGUGUUCAAUGCUUUGUAUGUGCAAAACUUGCUGUUACAAUUUACUGGGCUUAAUGUGAUUCGGUUGGUCACAGAAGAGAGCUAUGACGUUUACUUAAUUCCACGCACAGAUUCUCAGGUUCACCUUCCACGAGUGACUGCUCUGUCCACAGGACAGCGGAGGGAAGGCCCAGGAAAGGCCUGGGAGAUGCCAGGCGCUCACAAACUGGUAUCAGUCCGCUGGUUUUGGCUUAAAGGAAAACGGCCAUAGAAGGAACUAAAAGGGCUCACUACAUCUAAUAUCACAAUGUUCUCAACUUUACCUUAGCCAAAAAUAAAAGCGGAAAAGCAAAAGUACUCCAGGGUAUGAUUCCAGUGCUAAUUUGAAACACGGAAUAUUUAGAAGACAAAGCUUAUUGUGAGUGCAAUUAAUAUACACAUGAAACACUGGUUUUGCAAAACCCUGUCUUUGUGAUUGCUUUUACAAAAGUAAAAUUCUCAUGAGGCUCACAUACAUUAACUGAUUUUCAAAUGAAAGGACUGGUAAACUUCAGGGCAUAUGAUUUCUGCCACACACGAGGGGAGCAGUGAGAGAGAAGAGCUAGGAUCAAGUGUGCUGAAGCUGUCCUAGGACUGAAAUUCACUUUCUGCCAAAACAAAACAAACACAGGAGUCUGUCAACUUCGAUAGCAAGCUCUGCUUGAGAAUCAAGACGUUAAAGUUGCAGAGGGGCUUCUCCCUGCUAUGGGCACAUGUGAUCCUUGCAAACACAUAGCUCAGCAUCAUCAAAAACCAGAAGCCAACACAAGCCUUCCAGACAUGAAAUUCAAGAGCAGAAGGGAGCAGAGUCCAAGCUUGCUCCGCAGAACUGUUCCUGGAGGAGAGGAUGUCACAGGGAGGGCAGGGCAAGCAAAAGCAGCUUCCGUCUCACAGCAAGCAGGGUCUGAGCCAGGGGUGCAGUCUCCUCCAACCUGACAAGGAGGUGCGAGGAGCCACAGAGAAGUCAACUUAGGGUCCAUUUUCAGGAAGGGGCAACAAUGAGAAACAUUCUGGUCUUACCCACCCCCUUCUCCACGGUAACAGCUGAACUUGCAUGUCCAGGAUCUCAGGGGUUGUGCGUCUGUCACAUUCCCCACCCCCUCAUGCAGAUGCUCUUCCUGCACCCGGGUGCCCCUCUCUGCGCUGCUCCUGAGGCCACACCUGUUGUCAUGCAGUAGUGACCAGGAAUUCACUUUUGUCCAGGAGAAGUAAACACAGAGUUCACACACUCCUGUACGGGUUUGCUGGCCGAGAAUCUAACCACACUGUCCAAUUCCAGAUGUGCCGGCACCAAGCAGAACGUCAGAUGUCCAGCAUUUAUAAAUGGUAUCAGUGGGUUCUCCUGGGACUCCCAGGCAGCUGCACGAGGAAGGGAGCUGUUGCCCAGUUAUCCUGAGCCAAAGCAAUGCUGCGAGGCAAACACCACAGGUCACAUUGCACUCGAGCACUGAUUUGAGAAUUGCUCAUUCGCGUGUUGAAAGGCAGUAUUAAGAAGAGUUUGGGGUACAGGCAUCAGACAGGCCUGGUCUCAGCCAUGGGACAGCAGUGACUGCCCACAAGUCCCAUAUCUAAGCCCUGACUCCCCAUCCGGCGUUCUUCAGGAUCAAUGCCCACCUCACAGUGCUGCCAUGAAUGCUAAGUCGGCACGUACAUACACAACCAAAUUCAUUUCAAUUGUGCUUUCUACCCCAAUUUAAUACAACCAGGCGCUAUCAUUGAGACUGAAUAACCAAUAUUAGAACAGAAAGUCAGGCCAGGGAUGGUGGCUCAGAUGUGUACUCCCAGCACUUUGGGAAGCUGAGGUGGGUGGAACACUUGAGGUCAGGAGUUGGAGACCAGCCUGGCCAACAUGGCAAAACCCUAUCUCUACUAAAAAUAAAAAAUCAUCCAUGCAUGGUGGCACACAUCUGUAACCCCAGCUACUAGGGAGGCUGAGGCAUUAGAAUCACUUCAACCUGGGAGAUGGAAGUUGCAGUGAACCGAGAUCGUACUACUGUGCUCCACCCUUCCAGCCUGGGUGACAGAGCAAGAUUCUGUCUAAUUUUAAAAAAAUAAAAAUAAAAGGUCAAGAUAAAAACUAAUUGCCAAGGCCCACGUUCCAUGUACUUAAAAUAUAAAAUUCAUUAGCUGGUACUUGAUCAAGUUGUUGUUUUCUUCAUUACAAUCUAGUAUAUCCUAACACGGCUCAAAACGUUUACAUUUGAGCACACCUCGAGUGUGACUAACAACAAAAUAUAAAGUGCCUAUAUUUCAUAAAUGAGCAAGUUCCAGUAAGGCUGCAUUCUGCUCUAGUUAAUCCUUUGACAACGUAAAACUGAGCCAUCCUGACAGCACUGACACAUGGUACAAGAAGAAUGACCUCCAGUUAAGUCCCUAGUUUUAGAGAACACAUACAGUUUAUCACUACUACACUAGCGAUUAGCAAGAAUUUAAAGGAAGAAAAAGUAUCAGGACUGUAACUUGGAAUAAAGACAAAAAACAUGAGAAAUUAGUCACGUUCAAAUCACCCUUUCUGUGUGGUCGUAACAGUUUGCACACCUGGUGUGUAUACUUUAUCAUGCAUAAGCUGUCACCAAGCUCUCUAUGAAGGUGGUAAGAACGUCCCGAGUCGCAGAGCCUCAUAUAUCGCAUUUAAACCCUAAACAGCCAGCACCACACACAGCACGCACUGAGACCUCUGAAUGCUCAGAGGAACGUGUGAUUGGAUGAAGGGCCCCAGCCCUGCCAUCAGCCUGCUGCUUAUUAAAACUAUAAAAGCCUUGCCCUUCAAGGUGCUCAGAUCUAACUAGCACAAGGUUUUGCUUUUAACAAGUUAAAUUACUAUAUAUACAUUCUCUUAGUAGAAAGAAUGUAUAGGAUAGCUAGUUGGGAACAUUUUUUUUUUAAGUUUGUAUGGAGUGAGUUAUCCCAGGGAGCCUGGUUCAUACCUGCAUUAAAAGGCAAUUCAUUAUUCUACAUCAAACCUUUACAGAAGGUUCACAGUAAGAUCCCGGGAAAUGGCUUUCCCAUAGUGAAUUCUCAAUGCUCAGAUUUCAGUAUUGAUACACUUUUGUAAGCAGUCAAGAGAGGGGCGGCUCAGAGGCUGAAAGCACACAGGUCUGGGCCCUCCUGUGUCCGACAGCCUCACCUGGGCCUCGAUUUCUGCACCGCCCAGGGAUGCUCAUGAGAUUGUGCCAAAACGGAUCUGUGCACGCCAAACAGCUCUCAGCAGGCGCUCAACAGCUGGAAGCAGUUCCGCCACCAUCAUCCCCCUUCUAACCAAAUAGAGAACACCUGGUACAGAAGCAGGAGAAACAGGUCUUAAAUGAGCUGGCAAACUCAAAAUGCACCCGAUCUACCAGUCCAAAACAAACAUAUACCACUGCCCAAUAUUGAUGUGAGCCAAAAACAUGGAAGUCCUGAGGGCCCACACUGACCACAGCCAGACACCACUUCUGCAAGAACCAAGCACGCGCCCAGAGAUCACUCGUGAUGACCCAGGAGAGCAGCUUUGGGCAGAGACAAACGAGAAGGAGAGGCAAAGGGGCCAGGGUGCUGGGUGUGCCCAUCUUUGUGACUUCACUGAGUUUGCUGACCUCUGGCCCUUGGUGUCCAUCCUAUGGAGGAGGUAGCCCCCAAAUCCCUGCCUCCCUUCAGGACUGACUCUGAGGCUGCCCUGAAGUCUCCCCAGGCUGAGACUGCUUCUAAAUCCUGUUAACUCCAUACCCACAUAACUAAAAAACAAAAAACAAAAUAUCAAGUAUGCAGACAGGAAUAGAAAAAUGUGAAUCCUCCCCUGUUCAACAGGCAUUUUAAAAGUAACAGGAAAAUUGUGAUAGUCUUCAAACAACCACCAGAUAUCACAUCCUGUUGAAAUGUUUUAGCUAAUCAGGAACAUCUUUACCUAGCACCUGUGUUUUUAGGAAAUCAGUUGACAGAUUCCAAGUAGCCUCGGAACGUGCGACCUGACCCCAUACUCAAGCACAUCACGUCUCCAGGGGAACGAACCCUGGACACCAUUCAAAUGGUGAGGAACAGGAACAAGGGUAGCUUUCCCUCAAAUCCCUCAACACAAAACAAGCUCGACCCCGAUAAGCCUGCCGGCCCCGAGUAUUCCACACCUGGAGAAUAUUCAAACAAAAAACACUGCAAAAGACGUUCCCCUAAAGAGAAACUCAGUUUCUAACGUCCCUUAGGGAAAAAUAUGAGGCCCAGAACUUUCCAGAAAAUCACAAGUCUGAGAGGAAACCACUCACCUCUGACACUUCCUAAACCUGCCUUCCCGCAGGUGCUCAGGGAUGCCCCUGGGCCAGCCCCGUCCACCCAGGACAGCAGCAGGGCUCAGGCAGCCAGCACCUGGGCAGCUGGUGAAGCAACUCCAGGGUGAAACGGUCAUCCCAGACACCACUUCCCGGAGCCCCUCAGCAAGAAAAACAGAGGCGGGGCAGAACCGAGGGCUGACUCCAGGCGGGGGAGCCACAGACUGGCACAACUCAGUCAUCGGACACGCUCUGCUGUGGACAGAGCCCAGGGAGAGGUCAGCACAGACUUUUGUGCCAGCUCCAUGGGCCAGCGUCCUACAGGGCUCCAAGCUUGUGAUCACAGCUUCAGAAUCUGGUUCCAGAAUUUUCCGGAAUCAAAGACAUACCAAACUGUAAAGCUGCCAGGACAGCAGGGCCCAGGAGCAGGCUCGGGGAGGACCAGGUAGAAACCACACACACAGCACACAUGUGUGCAUGCUUUCUCCACACAUGCCACCCCUUCACCCAAUACUAUACACGCAAACACCAUGUAUGCACUCAUACACACCCUCAAAUACACUCACCAAAUGUGAUGCGUGCACACACUCCACACACACCCUCAAAUAUACACGACACACGCAAGAACAUGCUCACUCCACACACACCUGCUAAAUACACUCACCACACACGCACAAACGUGACACAUGUGCACACUCAUUCCAGACAUCACACCCCUCACUAAGUACACAGGUGCACACACCCCCCAGUCCAGAACCUGCAGACUCCACAAGCUUUGAUGUCUCCCAUUGUUUCUCUUAUCACAUGAGAGCCACACACAGGUGUCAUUUAGUGACAUCUAACACCCAGGGAGGCCCUUAAACAGAAUUGCAGUCAGAAGUCGGCUUCAUUCAGGCAUUCACCACCAGCCUCCUGAAGCCACCUCCUGUCUCCACGGGGAGUGGGGGCCGAGAGGGGAGACCCACGGGGAGCGGGGGCCAAGACCAGAGACGUCACUGGGCUUACAGAUCCCC